GUAAAGUGGCAGAAGCUGGGACCAUACAACUCUAAAGCCCACAUUCUUAGACAUUAGGGGAUAUUGAAUGAAGUGUGUGUAUGUAUGGGGGAAUUUAAGAGAAUAUCAAACCAUUUGUAGAGUUCUACCCAAUAUAGAGACCUUAUCUAAUGUAAGAGAACUCUGAAGACAUCUCAUUGAUUGAAUGCUCUCCCCUUCAUAGCAACUUCUUCUGCGGCUUCCUUGCCUGGUGCUCCAGUCUUUGAGGGAAGCACGGCUGGCACGUUCUUCCGUUUGGAGACAUGGUUGACAAUUUCUCCAUAAUGGGGACACAACUGGCAAUUUUCCUACAGAGUGAGGCAGAUGGCAGUUUUCCUUCAGAGACAUGCAGGCAACAGUUUUGCCCCUGGAGAGAAAAGCCUCGCCGAUUGAGAUGCAGCCAGUAAUUUUUACUAUACAGAAGACACAUCCAAUAAUUUUGCCCAGUGAGAGAAACGGCCAACAAUUUUCCCACAGAGGACAGGAAAAACAGACCAAAAAUUCAUAGUGGGGAGAAGUGAGGAGCAAAUGGGCUGGUGUGACCAAGAAAGACUUAAUAAGAAGCUGAGCCUUAAAUGAUCAAGAAGCACUGGAUAGAUAAGAGCACUGUUCACAAUAGCCAAGAUUUGGAAGCAACCUAAGUGUUCACCAACUGAUGAAUGGAUAAGGAAAA
rnacentral:antisense_RNA from 1 species